UACGUAUGGUGCAAGCGUUAUCCGGAUUUACUGGGUGUAAAGGGAGCGCAGGCGGCACGGCAAGCCUGAUGUGAAAGCCCGCGGCCCAACCGCGGGACUGCAUUGGGAACUACCGGGCUGGAGUGCCGGAGUGGUAGGCGGAAUUCCUAGUGUAGCGGUGAAAUGCGUAGAUAUUAGGAGGAACACCAGUGGCGAAGGCGGCCUACUGGACGGUGACUGACGCUGAGGCUCGAAAGCGUGGGGAGCAAACAGG
rnacentral:rRNA from 1 species